rnacentral:rRNA from 1 species
AGCAGCCGCGGUAAUUCCAGCUCCAAUAGCGUAUAUUAAAGUUGUUGCAGUUAAAAAGCUCGUAGUUGAAUUUCGGGAUCAAGUCGUCGGUCGUGCUCAGGUACGUACUGGCGUCAUUGAUUUCUCCCUUCUGACGAACCAUGAUGUCAUUAAUUUGGUGUUAUGGGAAAUCAGGACUGUUACUUUGAAAAAAUUAGAGUGUUUAAAGCAGGCUCACGCUUGAAUACAUUAGCAUGGAAUAAUGAAAUAGGACGUUCGAUCCUAUUUUGUUGGUUUUAGGAUCAACGUAAUGAUUAAUAGGGAUAGUUGGGGGCAUUAGUAUUCAAUUGUCAGAGGUGAAAUUCUUGGAUUUAUUGAAGACUAACUACUGCGAAAGCAUUUGCCAAGGAUGUUUCCAUUAAUCAAGAACGAAAGUUAGGGGAUCGAAGACGAUCAGAUACCGUCGUAGUCUUAACCAUAAACUAUGCCGACUAGGGAUCGGAUGAUGUUAAUUUUUUAAUGACUCAUUCGGCGCCUUACG